AUUGAACGCUAGCGGGAUGCUUUACACAUGCAAGUCGAACGAGCGGCGGACGGGUGAGUAAUGUAUGGGGACUGCCCGAUAGAGGGGGAUAACUACUGGAAACGGUAGCUAAUACCGCAUACCAUCGGAUUCCCCAUAUGGGAUUAGCUAGUAGGUGUGGUAAUGGCUCACCUAGGCGACGAUCCCUAGCUGGUCUGAGAGGAUGAGCAGCCACACUGGGACUGAGACACGGCCCAGACUCAUACGGAGGCAGCAGUGGGGAAUAGGGCACAAUGGGCGCAAGCCUGAUGCAGCCAUGCCGCGUGUAUGAAGAAGGCCCUAGGGUUGUAAAGUACUUUCAGUCGGGAGGCGGUAACGACAGAAGAAGCACCGGCUAACUCCGUGCCAGCAGCCGCGGUAAUAC
rnacentral:rRNA from 1 species